rnacentral:rRNA from 1 species
GACGAACGCUGGCGGCGUGCUUAACACAUGCAAGUCGAACGGAAAGGCCCUGCUUUUGUGGGGUGCUCGAGUGGCGAACGGGUGAGUAACACGUGAGUAACCUGCCCUUGACUUUGGGGUAACUUCAGGAAACUGGGGCUAAUACCGGAUAGGAGCUCCUGCUGCAUGGUGGGGGUUGGAAAGUUUCGGCGGUUGGGGAUGGACGCGCGGCUUAUCAGCUUGUUGGUGGGGUAGUGGCGUACCAAGGCUUUGAUGGGUAGCCGGCCUGAGAGGGUGACCGGCCACAGUGGGACUGAGAUACGGCCCAGACUCCUACGGGAGGCAGCAGUGGGGAAUAUUGCACAAUGGGCGGAAGCGGGAUGCAGCAACGCCGCGUGCGGGAUGACGGCCUUCGGGUUGUAAACCGCUUUCGCCUGUGACGAAGCGUGAGGGACGGUAAUGGGUAAAGAAGCACCGGCUAACUACGU